rnacentral:rRNA from 1 species
UCCUACGGGAGGCAGCAGUGGGGAAUCUUCCGCAAUGGACGCAGGUCUGACGGAGCAACGCCGCGUGUAUGACGAAGGCCUUCGGGUUGUAAAAUACUGUCUUUGGGGACGAAUGUUAGCUAUGAAAAUAUUGUAGUUAAAUGACGGUACCCGAGGAGGAAGCCCCGGCUAACUACGUGCCAGCAGCCGCGGUAAUACGUAGGGGACGAGCGUUGUCCGGAAUCAUUGGGCGUAAAGGGCGCGUAGGCGGAUAGUUAAGUCCGAUGUGAAAUACCAAGGCUCAACCUUGGGGCUGCAUCGGAAACUGGUUAUCUUGAGGACAGGAGAGGAAAGUGGAAUUCCUAGUGUAGCGGUGAAAUGCGUAGAUAUUAGGAGGAACACCAGUGGCGAAGGCGACUUUCUGGACUGUAACUGACGCUGAGGCGCGAAAGCGUGGGGAGCAGACAGGAUUAGAUACCCUGGUAGUCCACGCCGUAAACGAUGAGUGCUAGGUGUAGAGGGUAUCGACCCCUUCUGUGCCGCAGUUAACACAAUAAGCACUCCGCCUGGGGAGUACGGCCGCAAGGUUGAAACUCAAAGGAAUUGACG